UACGUAGGGUGCAAGCGUUGUCCGGAAUUAUUGGGCGUAAAGAGCUCGUAGGCGGUCUGUCACGUCGGCUGUGAAAACCUGGGGCUCAACUCCGGGCCUGCAGCCGAUACGGGCAGACUAGAGUUCGGCAGGGGAGACUGGAAUUCCUGGUGUAGCGGUGAAAUGCGCAGAUAUCAGGAGGAACACCGGUGGCGAAGGCGGGUCUCUGGGCCACUACUGACGCUGAGAAGCGAAAGCAUGGGGAGCGAACAGG
rnacentral:rRNA from 1 species